UCGUAUGGAAAUUCUUCGGCGGACGGCAGAUAUCAGGUUCACCCCGUGCGACGCCGCUCCUACGCGCGACGCCGACGCCUCGAACGCGCCGCAAACGUAGACGACGGCAUUCCACGGCGCUGCGAAGCCAGCGAAGCGUCUUCGGCAUCGACACCGGACUCCGGACUCAAAAGAGAAGAACGCACUCGGCGACGGAACUCCGCGGCUCCGCAACACGGACUGAUAGGUGCCAGUGCGGUUGCUGCAUGCCGAUGGAGAUCGUCGUCAGGUUGUCUGCCGCCGGGUGUACACUGCCGCCGUACGCAAGCAGCAGGGCCGGCGCGCUGCGUGACGAACCACUUGGAUUUCGACUCGCUGUGCCCCAGCCGGGGUGUGCUAUGACUAGCUUUCCAUAAUAGACGCCACUAUGGGCAGAAGAAAAUGCGGGGCGACAAGGAACAACUGCGAGCCGCGGAUGAGGACCCCUCCAGCGACACGGAGUCGGAGUUGGGCUCCGGUCCGUCUUCGGUUGAGAUCCUGGCCCUCAAUGACCCUGCAGUGACCGUAUGUCUACCGCCCUCGAGUUGGUGAUGGAGCAUUUAGCAGCCGUCACGGGCGGGACCGGCGGCCAGCGGCAGUGCGAGCCAGAGGAGCUCGACGACCGCAAGUUCGUCGCCGACUUCGUGGCGGUGCUGGGCGUAUACGCAAGAGCGUCGAGCGCCUCGGACGCGUAGCGCCUCGGAUGCCUACGUGCUGAAGCGGAUCUUCCCCUUGCCUUGCCGGCGAGCGCGAGACGAUGGUCCUUCCCACUCAGGACGAAGAUGCAUUGGUGCGAAUAACUGGCAUUGUGGCCGACUGAUGUUGGGGAGCUCCGUCUACAGGUGUGCGAGAAGCUUGCAGAACAAAGGGUAGGCCGCACCUAGAGCAACGAUUGGUACGACUCAUAUUUGCUGAGAGAGAAUGGACUUCUUCUCAGCUACAUUUUUCAAGCAGACGAUGCCGCCCAUGGCUCACCUUUCAGGAUUGUGAAACUUCGAACGCCGUUCAUCAGUCACUUCCAUGAUUCAGCCUCAUCAGGCCACAGCAGCAGCAGUAUUACUUGCAAUAAGUUACGUCAUGUCGAGACUUGAUCAGGAAUCAUUCAGGAUAUACGAAGUAUGCC